rnacentral:rRNA from 1 species
CCGGCACGGGUGAGUAACACGUAUGCAAUCCACCUGUAACAGGGGGAUAACCCGGAGAAAUCCGGACUAAUACCCCAUAAUAUGGGCGCUCCGCAUGGAGAGUCCAUUAAAGAGAGCAAUCUUGGUUACAGACGAGCAUGCGCUCCAUUAGCCAGUUGGCGGGGUAACGGCCCACCAAGGCGACGAUGGAUAGGGGUUCUGAGAGGAAGGUCCCCCACAUUGGAACUGAGACACGGUCCAA